GGUAGAUCCUCUGUACAACACUUUUGCUGCGCGUGAAGUCGGUUUUUUCCCGCCUCACAUAUUUCGGGAGAUUGGCAGCGCCCGCUUCUUCUGCACCAAUUGUGGUGGAUUGUGGUCCAAAGAGCAAAAGCAUUGGACGGACCGAUUGAUUCGCCCGUUUCUCGGCUGUCGG